rnacentral:rRNA from 1 species
UACGUAGGGACCGAGCGUUGUCCGGAAUCAUUGGGCGUAAAGAGCGUGUAGGCGGCUAUUUAAGUCCUGCGUGAAAUCCUGCGGCUCAACCGCAGACGGUCGUGGGAAACUGGAUGGCUAGAGUGCGGGAGAGGAGAGUGGAAUUCCCGGUGUAGCGGUGAAAUGCGCAGAUAUCGGGAAGAACACCCGUGGCGAAGGCGGCUCUCUGGAACGCAACUGGACGCUGAGACGCGAAAGCGUGGGGAGCAAACAGG